rnacentral:misc_RNA from 1 species
AACCAUAGAAACCUGCGGAGUACCUGCGGAGGGAUCAUUAUAGUAUAUGGAAUCUCCAUUCUAUAAACCCACUCUGCGUAUCUUGUAACUGUUGCUUCCAUGGGACUUGGUUCCGCUACACCGGCUUCACGGCUGGUGAGCGCCCAUGGAAGGAGAAACAAAACUCUUCUUUGAAAUGUAGUCAGUCUGAACAAGUUUUUAUAAACGUUAAAACUUUUAACAAUGGAUCUCAGAUCGGAA